AUGUCAGACAAUAGAUCAUGUUACUGAGAAAACCCUCAGACUCUGCAGUGAUGAGGACAGAUAUAUACACCUAUGCCCCAUUGAAACAUGCCACCCUGAACACCCAGCAGACUUAGGUCAGGCCUAGCAGCCCCCAUCCCCCCUCUUAGAACCACCCAGGUCCCUGAUAGAUGUGCUGACCUAUUCCUUCUUCCUCCUCUCAGCUGCUGUCCUUAGCACCUGGAUCCAGUUGGCAUCUCCUCAAUUUCUAAAAUGAAAGUGGAGCUCAGACCGCCCUAUGGCAUGGUGGGGGGCAACAUCACCUUAUCCAUCCUGGGGCUCUCAAAGGAACCUCGAAGGUACACUUGGUUCAAAAAGACAACAGAUGGGUCCAACAGGAUUGUGACCUACAAUGUUCAGACAGGACAGCAGACACCAGCCAAUGGUCGAGUGAUUGUAUUCCCCAAUGGCACUCUGCUCAUCACCAACCUCACCCUCGUGACAGUGAUGAGUACAUAGUGGAGAUUUUUUCUACAGUUGAUGGUCUGGGAAACUAUCAGUUAUCUCUUCUAGGGGUACAUCUGGAAGUCUAUGAUUCAAAUUCCGGAGGAGGGGUGGUCGCUGGCAUUGUGAUUGGAGUCCUGGCUGGGGUGGCUCUCAUUGGGGCCCUCAUCUAUUUCCUGUACAUCAGAAAGACUGGAAGAGCCUCACAAGGGCUACUGGGAGACCCUGGACCAGGAGGGAAAACUCAACCAGCUCAGAAGCCUAGAAAACUUCAUUGACAACUGAUAGUUUCACAUCUCCGCUUGUUAAGUCUUUGAUGAUCAAGAGAGUUUCAAAGAUCUUUUAGUCUCCUCAUCAUGAUGAUUGAUUUACAUUGGUUAAACUUUCUUAGGAUUUGAAGACUCAUUGUGGUAAUGUCUGUUCCUUUAUGUACUUCCAUGUUUCAGCCCCAAUAGUUACUUUAAAUAGGCCAGGCUAUAGUUAACUUUCUUGCUCACCAUUUCUUCUUAGGUGGCGUAGUAGGUAGAAUACCAGAGUUGUAAUCAGAAAGACUUGAGUUUAAAUCAGACACUAUCUGUGUGACCCUGGACAAGUCACUCAGCUUCAUCUCUAAAAUGAAAAUUACAAGGACCAAAUUAUUAGUUUUACGUGCUUCUCAUCUGUAAAAUGGGUAUUAUAAUAGCACCCCUCAUUAGGAUUCCUGUGAGGAUCAAAUGAGUUCAUAUUUGCAAAGUGCUCUGCAAACCUUAAAGCACUUAUACAAAUGUUAGCUAAUAUUUAUUCUACUUUGGUAAUGAUUUUGCAUUUAAGAAGCUGGUGGUCUAACUGUCCACAGGCAGAGGAUCUCACAUUGGAUACUGGUCAUUUCUUUUCUGUUAGAAUAAAAAAAAAUUGCUGGAUGAUAUUAUUUGGUUC
rnacentral:lncRNA from 1 species